CAUUUUAAUUGAAAACAUUCACGGUAAGAUACUUAAUUGUUACCCAGAAAUGAUUUGAUAUUGAGAUAAAAAUGUCUGUAUUAGACCUUUAAGGCCUAAUGGGAGCUUGGGUGCGCAGCAUGCAUGUGUUUAGAGGGAGCGGUCGGAUCGUAAUUUCACCUGCAGAAGCCUAUUCCAGAUGCCACCUACUGUAAGCCCACGGUAGAACUUCAUUUCCCCCUAGCGGUCAUACCAUGCAAUAUGAUUUGACAUGGAAUGUUCUUGUCGUUUUAAUGGGGGAAAACUUUUUUUUUAAAUGGCAGUUUGAACGUUAAGAAAUAUUUUCCAUUUGUCACAUCCCUAAACCAUAGUAGGGCUCCAAGCAGAAUGCCUGCUUUACAACAUAUUUUCCAUCUCCGCCUACCUGCAAGUCAGAUAAAAAGCUUAUAAUGACGCAUAACUAUCUUAUGGACAGUAGCACUCAUAAAGAGUUUGAGAUUCAUCCACUUGGAUUUUCAGUUUUUGAUUGGCCCCUUGCAGGUGACUGAAGGUGGAUGAUAUUGUAGCUGUAAAAACAUUCUGAUUGUUGGGGUUUACUGUCAUUCAUGAGUUGCCAAGGCUGUGACGAGCAGGGAGGGGGUCCAGAUAAUGAUCACAGUUAUUUAACUUGGGCUUUGUUUGAUUGGUCGCAACCCAAUUGUUCGUAACCCAAUGCCCUUUUGAAUGGGAUGUUUGUACAGUCUGUAGAAGGUGAAGUCUUGCAGACUUGGCAGCUCCUUUGACUUACUAUUAUUCUGUGCGGUUAUUACCUGUCAUGCCCUGUGUUGUGUUGUGGUGCAGGGCCAGUGUAAAUGCUAUGUAUAUCUACGUCUCCCCCAGGUAUUGAAAACCCAGAGUGCUCCCCCACCCUGGUGUCUGUGCAGGCCCUGGUCCGCAUGCCCGUUCUGCCGCUGCCUGUAGGUCUGUCAGUGCUGAAAACCCAAACGGUUGGGGGUCCUUGGGUCCUACUUGAGCCCACCUGCAGGGAUGUUGCCCCUCAUGUUUAAAGCAGAUUGUAUACCACUUUCAGUACAUUGAAGGUAAGCUAUCCCCCCUCUUCCAAAAAACAAAACCCAUCAACUUCACCUGGUUAUUACCUCGUAUGUUUAUUUAUUUUUAAAAUGUAUUUUAAUAUUGAACACAUUGGUUUAGCCAGAUGCCCCCAUAGACAUGGUUUACAUGUUGUUUAAAAAUAUGUCAAAGACAAACUGGAUAAAAGUCAACUUAAUCAAGUCACGCACCCAAAUUGUGGAGAGGAAGUUGGGUCGGGUAUGGGGGGGCUGCAUCCAACAAGCUAUGAUGGACAAGAGCACCUUCAGUGUACUUAAUACUUAAUCUUAAUGGAACAGCUCAGAAUUUCUUGCUCUCCUGUAACGAAUACCUUUUUGUUUUUCAUGUGUUCCCUUGAUACAAUGUUAGAAACUGCAUGUGAGGAUAGCAGUCUUGCUAUGUAUUCAAACUCAUGUGUUGCAAUUAUUUUAGGCAUGUUCCUCUAAAAAAGAAGGAUAUUUAAGUGUUUUGUUUCCCUCUAUCAUUGGUUUUCAUGUUUUGUAUGACCAUGUUGUCUUUUGAUACAGGGAUAUUUCUUCUCUGAGCUUUGAGUCUGCUUGUUAUGAGCGGUAAUUGCCUCUACUUUAUUUUGUGUUAUAUAUUUUAAUGUUCUUAUAGGAGCAAAACAGAAAUAAAAGAGUCCACACGUGUAGCUGAUGGAGAAUUUAUGCCUUUUCCACAAAUGUCUUCCCUACAUACACAUGCCAAUGUUCAGGCCCCUUUAAGUGUCUUAACAAUUAACCGAAAUUCUGUAUUUUUAAAACUAAUCCACAAACCUUAACUAGAAUACUUUCGUUUUCAUCAGCUUUUUGUGCAGUUUUUAGGCUGGAAUCCCAACUUGAUUUGUGCGCAUAACUUGACGAACACAGAUCUCAAGUUAGGAUUUGGCACUUGUAUGCUAAAUUUAGUUUCAAACCAAAUAAUCAAAAGACAACUUUUUUUUUUACUGACACUAACUGAUGUUUGAUGUUUUUCCCAACAAUGAUGUUUCCUGUGGUGGCUGAGAUGUUUCCUGUGGUGGCCCAGCACCUUCUCCAGCCUGGGCUCCACUUUCAGAGAGACAAGACCUCCACAAAGCCACUUAUCAAGGUCAUUUUGAUGGCAUGGGUAGAUACAAAAAGCGAACAACACUGGGGUGAUAGAAAAGACAAGAUGGGGAAUCACUUUCACUUACUAUUUUAUUAAAUGCAUUUAUAAUAGACACUCAUAAUAACAUACCUUAAAAGUUUGUUUCCAUACGUUUUCUCUCACAAUACUUUUAUGGCCUCCUUCCUUUUCUCCACAUGACAUCUACUCUUUCUGGUUAAAAAUAGAAUUCCAAGCUGCUCAUAUACCUGACUGUGGAUGUUUGGUUAAUCAUAUGGCUCUAAACUAGUUCCAGAUUACUACAUGCAAGGCUUCAGGUAUCUUGUCUUUUAACUGUGUUAAAGUUGAACCAAGAUACUUUUCAUUUGUUCUCUAUAUAUUCUAGGUGCUGCCACUUUAGAGAAGAAACUCACAAGGAACCUCAUCUGGACAAAGGGUAAGUCAGAACUUAUUUUCCCUGUCUUGGUUUCAUCCGUCUACUUUUUCUGCCCAUGUAAGACUCAAGGCCAGAGAGAUGUUCAACAAUGGGCCCUGUGGAUAUUUCUCAGAAACAUUUUAAAACAGAAAUGUAUUAAAACAUAUGUAACACUUUUGUCCAUGUACUUAACUUUAUUCAUGUAAUCCAACCCAAAUAAUUGGACACCACUUUUUCCAAUAUAUGAUAAAACAUUAUGUAUAUUUUGUCUGCUGUUGAGAACAUAACUAGUAUUCAUUUUCAUGUGUGUUUUAAUAUAAUAAACAUGUCUGUGAAAAAUA